CCACAGGGCUUAGACUGAUAUCAUUCACCCCAAACAGCUUGGAUACAGCAUCAUCUCUGAUUGUCAUAGCUUCCCAUCCUCGGCCACUAUGAAGGUCCUCAUUUGAGUACUGAACAGAGAGCAUUCUUCUCCACUGCGCUGAAGUUUGGGCCUACAAGGAUAUCUGGGUCCAAGCCUGUGAGGAAGCAAUCACAGCUCUUCUCAUUCUAAGACAGCAGUGGUGGUGCUAUGCCCAGAGGACAGCAUUACAUAAUACAACCCUAUAUCACACAGAGGAAGAUGUCCAUCCUAGAUCUGCCCCGCCCCCAAGCCCCCGAGGCUGGGAUGUUCCACACUAGGAUUGCUCAGCUUUGGUUGCAAGGCUUAUCAUCCACAGCAGGGGACACACAACCGCCACUACUUCGAAGACGCUGAGUCUGGGGAAGACAGGUUAAGUGUGAUUCCCACACAAGCCUGUCCCAUUGUCCUCCCAUCCCUGAUAUCCCUGCCUGAUAUCAGCCAUGGGAUAAAGACAACACAGAUGAACCAAGGACACUAUGUUAAGUGAAACAAGCUUGCUAUAAGAUGCAUCUUAUUUCAUUCUACUUGUAUGAGAUAUAUAAUCAAACUAAUGAGCUUGCAGGAGCUGG
rnacentral:lncRNA from 1 species